CACACCUGGGGAACCGCAUACACACACACACCGCCAACACACACGAUUGUGAGACUGCUCUGCGUGUGUUGGAGCUGUUGGGGAACUCAGAGGAGAUCUUAGACCAACUGCAGCAGGAGUGUGAGGAGACUGACAGGAGGCUGCAGCUGAAGAGAGAAGCUCUGAAACUGGCAAGAGGAACACUCACACACACACUCAUUAUACACUCACACACUCAUGAUACACACACACACU